rnacentral:rRNA from 1 species
UACGUAGGGGGCUAGCGUUGUCCGGAAUCAUUGGGCGUAAAGCGCGUGUAGGCGGCCCGAUAAGUCCGCUGUGAAAGUCCAGGGCUCAACCCUGGGAUGCCGGUGGAUACUGUCGGGCUCGAGUCCGGAAGAGGCGAGUGGAAUUCCUGGUGUAGCGGUGAAAUGCGCAGAUAUCAGGAGGAACACCGGUGGCGAAGGCGGGUCUCUGGGCCUUACCUGACGCUCAGGUGCGAAAGCUAGGGGAGCGAACAGG